UACGAAGGGGGCUAGCGUUGCUCGGAAUCACUGGGCGUAAAGGGUGCGUAGGCGGGGCUUUAAGUCAGGGGUGAAAUCCUGGAGCUCAACUCCAGAACUGCCUUUGAAACUGCUGGGCUUGAGUCCGGGAGGGGGUAGCGGAAUUCCCAGUGUAGCGGUGAAAUGCGUAGAUAUUGGGAGGAACACCGGUGGCGAAGGCGGCUACCUGGACCGGCACUGACGCUGAGGCGCGAAAGCGUGGGGAGCAAACAGG
rnacentral:rRNA from 1 species